rnacentral:rRNA from 1 species
UGAGGAAUAUUGCGCAAUGGGGGAAACCCUGACGCAGCAACGCCGCGUGAGUGAGGAAGGUUUUCGGACCGUAAAGCACUUUAAGCAGGAAAGAAGGGGGUUGUGUUAAUACCAUAACCUUUUGACGUUACCUGCAGAAUAAGCACCGGCUAACUCCGUGCCAGCAGCCGCGGUAAUACGGAGGGUGCGAGCGUUAAUCGGAAUUACUGGGCGUAAAGCGUAUGUAGGCGGUUUGAUCAGUCGGAUGUGAAAUCCCCGAGCUUAACUUGGGAAUGGCAUUCGAAACUAUCAAGCUAGAGUAGGCUAGAGGAAAGGGGAAUUCCGCGUGUAGCAGUGAAAUGCGUAGAUAUGCGGAGGAACACCAAUGGCGAAGGCACCUUUCUGGGGUCAUACUGACGCUGAGAUACGAAAGCGUGGGGAGCAAACA